CGGACAACGCUGGCGGCGUGCUUAACACAUGCAAGUCGAACGGUCGUAGCAAUACGGCAGUGGCGAACGGGUGAGUAACACGUGAGCAACCUGCCCCAGACUCUGGGAUAACAGUUGGAAACAGCUGCUAAUACCGGAUACGAGACGGAGAGGCAUCUCUACCGUCUGGAAAGUUUUCGGUCUGGGAUGGACUCGCGGCCUAUCAGCUAGUUGGUGAGGUAAUGGCUCACCAAGGCGACGACGGGUAGCCGGCCUGAGAGGGCGACCGGCCACACUGGGACUGAGACACGGCCCAGACUCCUACGGGAGGCAGCAGUGGGGAAUAUUGCACAAUGGGCGAAAGCCUGAUGCAGCGACGCCGCGUGAGGGAUGACGGCCUUCGGGUUGUAAACCUCUUUCAGCAGGGAAGAAGCGAAAGUGACGGUACCUGCAGAAGAAGCACCGGCUAACUACGUG
rnacentral:rRNA from 1 species